rnacentral:rRNA from 1 species
GGGGGAAUCUUAGACAAUGGGCGCAAGCCUGAUCUAGCCAUGCCGCGUGAGUGAUGAAGGCCUUAGGGUCGUAAAGCUCUUUCGCCUGUGAAGAUAAUGACGGUAGCAGGUAAAGAAGUCCCGGCUAACUCCGUGCCAGCAGCCGCGGUAAUACGGAGGGGACUAGCGUUGUUCGGAAUUACUGGGCGUAAAGCGCGCGUAGGCGGACUAGUCAGUCAGAGGUGAAAUCCCAGGGCUCAACCCUGGAACUGCCUUUGAUACUGCUAGUCUUGAGUUCGAGAGAGGUGAGUGGAAUUCCGAGUGUAGAGGUGAAAUUCGUAGAUAUUCGGAAGAACACCAGUGGCGAAGGCGGCUCACUGGCUCGAUACUGACGCUGAGGUGCGAAAGUGUGGGGAGCAAACAGGAUUAGAUACCCUGGUAGUCCACACCGUAAACGAUGAAUGCCAGACGUCGGGCAGCAUGCUGUUCGGUGUCACACCUAACGGAUUAAGCAUUCCGCCUGGGGAGUACGGUCGCAAGAUUA